UGAUGAGAUCAGGCAAGCACAGCUCCAGGAGUUAACAUAUUUGAAUGGUGGUUCAGAAAAUGCAGAUGUUCCAGUGGUUCGAGGGAAACCCACCUUGCGUACAAGAGGUGUACCAGCCCCAGCAAUAACCAGGGGAAGGGGAGGAGUUACAGCCCGGCCAGUUGGAGUUGUAGUACCACGAGGGACGCCAACUCCCAGAGGAGUCCUGUCCACCCGAGGGCCAGUGAGUCGGGGAAGAGGACUUCUCACUCCCAGAGCAAGAGGAGUCCCCCCAACUGGGUACAGACCUCCACCGCCACCCCCGACACAAGAGACUUAUGGAGAAUAUGACUAUGAUGAUGGAUAUGGCACUGCUUAUGAUGAACAGAGUUAUGAUUCCUAUGAUAACAGCUAUAGCACCCCAGCCCAAAGGAAAUGUCAGCCAUCUUGGAAUGUCACAGGAACUGGUUGAACACCUGAAGCAAACAAAGGAACUUUCCUUCUAUAUAUGGACUGCUUAAGAAUCGUCAACUCACCAACGUGCCUAGUCAGUAAAUGAAUCCACUUGGGAACUUGAAAAACAUCUUAAUUAAUUUUUGUUUGCAUAAUUUCGUGUUCUGUGACAUGUUUUUAUUAUAUGGUAUGCUUUUAAUUUGGAGAACCUACUUUUUUAAAAAACAGAAAGAAAAUCUAUCUUAUUUCGUUGUCUCCCAGUAACAAAAAGAGAAUGAUU
rnacentral:sRNA from 1 species